rnacentral:rRNA from 1 species
UACGGGGGGGGCAAGCGUUGUUCGGAAUUACUGGGCGUAAAGGGUUCGUAGGUGGCCAACUAAGUCAGACGUGAAAUCCCUCAGCUUAACUGGGGAACUGCGUCUGAUACUGGUUGGCUUGAGUGCAGGAGAGGAACGCGGAAUUCCAGGUGUAGCGGUGAAAUGCGUAGAUAUCUGGAGGAACAACGGUGGCGAAGGCGGCGUUCUGGACUGCAACUGACACUGGGGAACGAAAGCCAGGGUAGCAAACGGG